rnacentral:rRNA from 1 species
CCUACGGGUGGCAGCAGUGGGGGAUAUUGCACAAUGGGGGAAACCCUGCUGCAGCGACGCCGCGUGUGGGAAGACGGUCCUCUGGAUUGUAAACCACUGUCCCCAGGGACGAAGAUGACGGUACCUGGGGAGGAAGCCCCGGCUAACUACGUGCCAGCAGCCGCGGUACUACGUAGGGAGCGAGCGUUGUCCGGAAUUACUGGGUGUAAAGGGAGCGUAGGCGGGACUGCAAGUUGGGUGUCAAAUCUACCGGCUCAACCGGUAGCCGCACUCAAAACUGCAGUUCUUGAGUGAAGUAGAGGUAGGCGGAAUUCCUAGUGUAGCGGUGAAAUGCGUAGAUAUUAGGAGGAACACCAGUGGCGAAGGCGGCCUGCUGGGCUUUUACUGACGCUGAGGCUCGAAAGUGUGGGGACCAAACAGGAUUAGAUACCCCUGUAGUC